rnacentral:rRNA from 1 species
GUGGGGAAUCUUCCGCAAUGGACGAAAGUCUGACGGAGCAACGCCGCGUGAGUGAAGAAGGUUUUCGGAUCGUAAAGCUCUUUCGUCAGGGACGAACGUAUUUCUUGUAAAUAAUGAGAGAUAGUGACGGUACCUGAAUAAGAAGCCACGGCUAACUACGUGCCAGCAGCCGCGGUAAUACGUAGGUGGCAAGCGUUGUCCGGAAUUAUUGGGCGUAAAGCGCGCGCAGGCGGGAUAUCAAGUCUGUCUUAAAAGUGCGAGGCUCAACCUCGUGAGGGGACAGAAACUGGUAUUCUUGAGUGUCGGAGAGGAAAGUGGAAUUCCCAGUGUAGCGGUGAAAUGCGUAGAGAUUUGGAAGAACACCAGUGGCGAAGGCGACUUUCUGGACGAUGUCUGACGCUGAGGCGCGAAAGCUAGGGGAGCGAACGGGAUUAGAAACCCCAGUAGUCC